AGAGUUUGAUCAUGGCUCAGGAUGAACGCUAGCGGCAGGCUUAAUACAUGCAAGUCGUGGGGCAGCAGGUCCGUAGCAAUACGGAUGCUGGCGACCGGCAAACGGGUGCGGAACACGUACACAACCUUCCUUAAAGUGGGGAAUAGCCCGGGGAAACCCGGAUUAAUACCCCGUAACAUAAUGAAGUGGCAUCACUUCAUUAUUAUAGCUCCGGCGCUUAAAGAUGGGUGUGCGACUGAUUAGGCAGUUGGCGGGGUAACGGCCCACCAAACCUACGAUCAGUAACUGGUGUGAGAGCACGACCAGUCACACGGGCACUGAGACACGGGCCCGACUCCUACGGGAGGCAGCAGUAAGGAAUAUUGGUCAAUGGACGCAAGUCUGAACCAGCCAUGCCGCGUGGAGGAUGAAGGUCCUCUGGAUUGUAAACUUCUUUUAUCUGGGAAGAAAUCCAUGAAUUCUUUUGUGGUUGACGGUACCAGAUGAAUAAGCACCGGCUAACUCCGUGCCAGCCGCCGCGGUAAUAC
rnacentral:rRNA from 1 species